GAGAGAGAGAAAGAUCUGGCUGCAGCACCUGUCAUGCAGGGGUCACCAGGGUUGAUUCAGCUGAUCUGGCUGGCCAGGCAGGUGUUCUCAUCUUACCUCACUGCUCUUGUGCAUCCCUCCCAAAGACCUUCCUGAUGGAGGAGGAGAAUGGUUUUCUUUUUUAAGUGAUUAAGAAUAGCUGUUCUUCCCUGCUAGAACCUCCAAACAUGCUCUGCUCAUGUAAUUUGAUCACUCUUUUCAUAAAUUUUUUAGGGAGACAAAAAUAUCUGGCUUACAGCCAAUCUAUAUCAUUAUCAUUUCAUUAUCAUUUUAUGGAAGAAUGGAUUUUG
rfam:Heterocephalus glaber contig118502, whole genome shotgun sequence.